rnacentral:rRNA from 1 species
AGAGUUUGAUCCUGGCUCAGGAUGAACGCUGACAGAAUGCUUAACACAUGCAAGUCUACUUGAUCCUUCGGGUGAAGGUGGCGGACGGGUGAGUAACGCGUAAAGAACUUGCCUUACAGACUGGGACAACAUUUGGAAACGAAUGCUAAUACCGGAUAUUAUGAUUGGGUCGCAUGAUCUGGUUAUGAAAGCUAUAUGCGCUGUGAGAGAGCUUUGCGUCCCAUUAGUUAGUUGGUGAGGUAACGGCUCACCAAGACGAUGAUGGGUAGCCGGCCUGAGAGGGUGAACGGCCACAAGGGGACUGAGACACGGCCCUUACUCCUACGGGAGGCAGCAGUGGGGAAUAUUGGACAAUGGACCAAAAGUCUGAUCCAGCAAUUCUGUGUGCACGAUGAAGUUUUUCGGAAUGUAAAGUGCUUUCAGUUGGGAAGAAGUCAGUGACGGUACCAACAGAAGAAGCGACGGCUAAAUACGUGCCAGCAGCCGCGGUAAUACGUAUGUCGCAAGCGUUAUCCGGAUUUAUUGGGCGUAAAGCGCGUCUAGGCGGCUUAGUAAGUCUGAUGUGAAAAUGCGGGGCUCAACCCCGUAUUGCGUUGGAAACUGCUAAACUAGAGUACUGGAGAGGUAGGCGGAACUACAAGUGUAGAGGUGAAAUUCGUAGAUAUUUGUAGGAAUGCCGAUGGGGAAGCCAGCCUACUGGACAGAUACUGACGCUAAAGCGCGAAAGCGUGGGUAGCAAACAGGAUUAGAUACCCUGGUAGUCCACGCCGUAAACGAUGAUUACUAGGUGUUGGAGGAUUGACCCCUUCAGUGCCGCAGUU